UUAAUUGAAACCAAAAAGAGGUAAAUUAUUGUUAAUAAUAAAAUUAUAUAAAAUAUCAAUUAAA
rnacentral:tRNA from 1 species